UGGGGUUUUUUUUGUCUUUCACCCAUGGCAACAGAGCCAGUGCUUCUUUGCAAAAUUAAUAGAGUCCUUUGCACAACAUCUCCAUACAAAGGGGCACCAGACAAUGAAGCAUGGUGAGCGCGGCAGGCAUUGACAGCUUCUAGACAGUGCUGAGAUUGCAAGCGAAGUUACGGCACCUGCUUGCUGCAGCUGAUCCUUCAUUAUUAUGGCUCACAUGCUCAUCUCUCCAGAAAUACUUCUGCAGCCUGCUGGGAGCCCAAGGUUUUAGGAUCUGAAAUCCUUUUCACAGUGUGACUGGCUGAGGGGUGUCCAGAGAGGUUAGGCUUCCAACUUGGAGUUUCUCUGCUUUGCAAACAGAAGCAAGGAUGUGGAAACCUGGGUCACUUGCUCACAAGCUGCAAAGAAGGAAAAAAACCAAACAAAAAAACCCUACUCAACCAGGUGAAACUCCUGUCAUACAGUGUCUUCCUAUGGCCAGGUCAGAUGUCUUUCUCCUCCUCCAACUUCAGCUGCUGCAGAGGCUGCACAGAACUAAAUGGUCUUCCAGUGCUUUUACAGGAAACUGGUGUUUUUGACAGACUGGCAGAGCUGCUUCCUCUGGAAAACAAGUAAGAUUGAGUACUCUGUCUUCUACAUACUAUUGCCUGCCUAAAGGAAAGAAACAACCAUGCUGGGGAGGCAGCAGAACAGGAGAUACUCAGCUAAUCCUACAAAUGAAACUAGAAGCCAUAGAGACAUGCAGCUCCAACAGAAUGCAGCUUC